rnacentral:lncRNA from 1 species
CCUACUCAAGAACCAAAAAGUAGAAGAAAGAAAGUUAACCUGUGGGAGGCUGAGUAGGUGCGAGUUGGUGACUACGAAGUAAGCUGUGCGGCUUCUUUGUGGAUAUAGAGCGGAUCUAGAUAGCAUGCUUCUGAGAGGAUUGGAUUGAACUGAUGAAAGAGUUACCUAUUUAUACUUGAAGAUUCACGCAAUAGAAGUAAUGGGGAUGCAUUCAAUGACAGAUCGUGUUGAGAAGUGGAAAGUUGUUGUUAAUGAUGGCGUGAAUUCAACCGACUUUGAUCGUGUUGAGAAGUGGAAAGUUGUUGUUAAUGAUGGCGUGAAUUCAACCGACUUGCUGUAACGUAUCCAAAUUUUUCUGACGGCAGUAGAGAGAAUUCAAUAAAAUACCGGUUUGCGUUCAAUUAGGGUACGCUGGUACUCAAUCGACUAACAGAACACGACUGUGAAUCCAUGGCGGUAGCAUGACCAUGAUUAGGACGACGGUGAGAACCUUGACUUCGAGACCAUAAGAGAGACAACUUUAGGUUUAGAGAUGCAAGGCCCAAUACAUUUUC